AUGCAAGCUGCUGCGACGCAUCGACCGACAAACACGGUUAAAAGGGAGGAAAGCGCGGCUCCUUUCGGAGCACCUGCUGCUGCGGAUGCAACCACUACAGGUGCAGGUGCUGGUAUGCUUACAAAUCGACAGGAUUUGCACCCAUCAGGAUUUGUUGCCAAACUUAGGAAGCAGCUUUCGCGUACCUUCUUGGCUUGUGGCUUUGAUGGUUCGAAAAAAGAGGUGAAGGAUUCUACUAGCACAACAAAGUUAAGUGAUGUCAAGGGAGUGGAUGACGCGAAAGCCGAGCUCGAGGACGUACUGCUGUGCCUGCGGGACCCCAAGCGUUUCGCACACCUCGGCGGCAAGCUUCCAAGAGGUGUCGUGCUAGUCGGCGGGCCUGGCGUGGGGAAGACAAUGCUGGCAAGGGCGAUGGCCGGGGAAGCCGGCGUCCCGUUCUUCACGUGCAGAGGCAGCGAAUUCGAGGAGAAGCAUGUGGGUGCUGGGGCUAAAAGGGUGAGGGAGCUCUUCACUACAGCAAAGAAGCGAUCUCCUUGCAUAGUGUUCGUCGAUGAGAUUGAUGCCAUUGCUGGGAGCAGGAGCUCGCAAGAUUCAAAGUCGCACAGACACACCGUUAAUCAGCUGCUCGUCGAGCUAGAUGGCUUGGAGCGGAAUGACGGGUUGAUCGUGGUCGCGGCGACCAACAACCUCGAGUCACUGGAUCAAGCCCUUGUUAGGUCUGGGCGUUUCGACCGUCACAUUCAGAUUCAUUAUCCAAAUGUUGAGGGCCGACGGCAGAUCCUUGAGGCUCAUAUGUCAAAGGUGUUGAAAACCAAGGAUGUGGAUCUUCUGACCAUCGCGAAGAGGACAUCUGGGUUGUCAGGUGCAAACCUGGCAACCCUGGUGAACGACGCCGUUCUCAAGGCUGUUAAGGACGGGGCAGAAGCUGUUGCGACGCAUCACCUGGAGUAUGCCACAGACAGGAUUCUAGUGGACGGUGAGCGCAGAUCAGUGGCGAUGCCUGAUAACUGCAAGAGGAUGACCACGUACCAUGAGGCAGGGCAUGCCAUCGUUGCUAUCCACACGGAUGGCGCUGAUCCCGUCCACAAGGCUACCAUUGUUUCCAGGGGUGAUUUUCUUGGCAUGGUGUGGCAGCUGCCGGAGGAGGGCGAUGAGUAUAUAUUCUCAAGGAAAAAGAUGCAGGCAGGACUGGAUGUCCUCAUGGGAGGCCGGGCGGCUGAGGAGGUUAUCUUUGGUGAGAGCGAGGUGAGCUCCCUCACCCUGACUGACCUGGGCGAGGCGACCCAGCUGGCGACGGACAUGGUUGCCAGGUAUGGCAUGAGCAAGCAGGUCGGCCCUGUCUCCUAUGACAACAACGACGGCAGUUGGAACGCCAAGACCAUGAGCUGGAACUCGACAACCAUGGUGGACCAGGAGGUGAAAGAGUUGUUGAGCAAGGCUUAUGAGAACGCAAAGACAAUCCUAGCGGCGCACAAGCGGGAGCUCCAUGCGCUCGUUGUCGCCCUCCUGGAGCACGAGACCCUGACCGGAGACCAGAUCACGGCGCUCCUGAAUGAAACUCUCGCCAACCGUGAAACCGGCAUCGAUUGGCCGCAAGAGGAAGAAGAAGUAAAUGAAUGGUCUAAUCGGUAG
rnacentral:rRNA from 1 species